rnacentral:rRNA from 1 species
CACGCAGGCGGUCUGUCAAGUCGGAUGUGAAAUCCCCGGGCUCAACCUGGGAACUGCAUCCGAAACUGGCAGGCUAGAGUCUUGUAGAGGGGGUAGAAUUCCAGGUGUAGCGGUGAAAUGCGUAGAGAUCUGGAGGAAUACCGGUGGCGAAGGCGGCCCCCUGGACAAAGACUGACGCUCAGGUGCGAAGGCGUGGGGAGCAAACA